rnacentral:miRNA from 1 species
ACCUUAGAGACCAACUAAGUUUGUUAUUGGUAUGAACUUUUGUGUGCGUGCACACAAAAGCUCAUACCAAUAACAAACUUAGUUGGUCUCUAAGGU